rnacentral:misc_RNA from 1 species
UGCACAACUGGUUGCACCAUCGUAUGGUCUAAAUGGUAGUGUAUAGGUGUUCUGUGGUAUGGUGCUCUCCAGUGACUGCCCGGUUUGCGGCAAAGAAACAGACCAACGUUUUCGUUGCAGAUGACUAGGAUAAAGAAUUUCGAGCAACGGGAGUAAGCAGCGAUGGGAACGUUUCUGGUCAAGGGAGGAUUCGCCGUGUGCAUCGCUGCUGCGUUGACUCACUACUACGGCCACUUGGAGACGGCGGGAGUGGCACUCAUGUACGUCGGCAUGGUGUCGCUCGGUGUGGUGCUCGGUUGCCGAAGUGUGCUCGGCUCCGACGACCCGUAUCCCGUCUUCUUGAAAGAACACGAGGGAAACCAUUUGUUGAAGCAAGUGCUGCAGGAAAAGAUGAAGGAAUACAGUCGCAGCGCGGACGACAAGAGCAAGCACAUUGUCUUCUCGCGCACGGUUGACGCGAAGAUAAAUGAAAUAUUUGAUCUCGUCUUCAGAGACUUCGUACUUCCCUGGUACAGGCACUUGGUACCUGACUACCGUUGCUUCUGCAUGCUUCUCAGGGGGGAAGUGUGGCGGGUUCUCCGGAACCUGAAGGAUCGUUGCCACCGGAUCGAUGACGUCAAGCUGCUGACCGACCACAUGGUUCGCAAGGUUCAGAAGCACUUCCAUGCUGCGCGAAUCGCCACUGGGGGGAAUGGUGACAAGCGGCCAUUCCCGCUAAGCCCAUUCCUAGAGACGUCACAGCUAGAGCUGGACCAUCUACGUCAGGUGGCCGACUUUGUGCUAGCGCUGCUGCUGCCAUCGGAGUAUGCCCUGUGCAUUUCUGUGCGCCAUCUGCUGCGUGAAAUCCUGGCCUGCUUGGUUUUCCAGCCGACGGUUGACCUGAUAACCGAUCCUGACUACAUCAACCAGAAGCUAAUUGCUUACCUUCAAUGGCUUCAAGCAGAAAAUGAAAAGCAUAGUCGAACGUACGCCUAUGCCGAGACAUGGGAGGAUUUCAUUUUUGUUAUCGAUACUUGCACAGACGUCCAGGACUUGAAGCGUAUGCGGUUCAACAUUGUCUCGGAAAUCAUGCAAGCUACCACUGCUAACAACUUGAAAAAAGCACGGGGCAUCAGUGAAGACAAGCAGUAUGAAGCACCAAGUACGGCCAAAGGGGACCUGCUCCAAUCGAGGAAUCUCUCCAAAUACAUCAAGCAGCUGACAUAUGCUAAGGCACGAUGUGAAAAACAGCUCAAGCUAGUAGGUGGCUUAGACUCGCCUUCGGAAGAGCAAGAAAGUCUUCCAGGACGCAAGGUGUUUGCAUUUUCGGUUCUCAUGGAGUCGCCUGUAUGUCGAGAAUACCUGGCACGAUUCUUGCAGGGGGAAGAGUUGGGGAAGUCACUGCUCUUGUUUUGGCAAGACAUAGAGAACAUGAAACUCUCCAGCAAAGAUGAAUGGCAUCAGCUGGGCAACGAGAUUUACCAGACGUACAUCAAGCGACCGCGUCCUGGGAUUCGACUCUCAAAAGGCGUCCUCAAGGGCAUAGAGGCCUUCAUUAUGGCCAACAAGGGUCCUGAGGCAUUCCUGCAAGCUCAGAAGGAAGUGUAUCAAGCAUUGGAGGAGCGCUAUUACCACUCUUUUCUGGUGAGCGAAGCUUACCAUAGCAUGGUGAUCGAGAUGCAGAACCUUCACCUGGACGUUGGCACCUACAAAGAAGAUGAACAGAGCUGCUCAAGUGGCAGCCAGCAGGAAGAGUGUGUGCCCCUGGGCUCGCCCGCUGAGCCCACAGUGGAAGAGUGCUGGGCACAGCGAAAGAGCCAGCUGACACGGCUCGAGUCUCGGCUCGGUGACAAGCGCAGGGCUCUGCAAGCACUGCAGGCCACACCAAAUUCAGACCCCAAGAUGGUCAGAGUUCUGGAGAAAGAGAUACAAGACAUGCGUGCCAAGUGUGACCUCCUUACCAACCAACUGAAACGAGCACACGACUGGAUACAGGGCUUGGGAAAGUGGACCGUCACCAUAAGCGGCUCUCAGAUUGUUAAGGAUUUUACUCCUAAACCAGUGCCAUACUUUACCAUAUUGGUGAGCAGACCGGAUAACGACCAUUCUGGCUGGGUAGUUACCAAGACCAUCGGCGAUUUCCAAUGCCUCUGCCAAAGGCUGCUGCCGCUGUGCCCUGGGCUCAAGCAAGUGAGCUUACCAUCUGCUAGCAAACCUCGCUUCCGCAGCUAUGACCAAGCCUUUUUGGACAAGACCCAGCCAAUGUUGCAGUGGUUCCUUGAUUUUGUGAUGAACGAAGAACGCCUCAGCCAGAGCGAGGCCCUGUACAGCUUUCUCAGCCAGAGCCCGGAUCCUCUGAAAGAGGAGCUGCCCAUUGCCAAGAAGAAUCUUUCUUUUCCCUUGCUGCAGUUUUUUCGCAAUUUGUCUGGCCCCAUCCUGCAGGACAGCAACGAGGAAGAAGAUGAGCUUUAUUUAUGUGAUAAGGACCUGCGAGAGGAUAAAAAAGACGACAUAGCUGUGCCACUGUAUGCACUUGCUGAUGAACUAUUCGAGCUUCAAGGCGUUUUCAACCUGCUUCGCCGGGCUCUGAUCUCAUUUGUGCAGACCUAUUAUGGAAAACCAAUUAACAGGCAACUCCGUGAGUGGGUGUCGUGGGUGUUCUCGGAGCCCAUGCAAGUGUACAUGCUGGACUUGCUGCGGGAGUCGAUAUGGCCCGAAGGUCAGCUUGCCCCCGAAUGGUUGCAACGCUCGGAGCAGGAACAGCUGGCUGCUCGCAAGCAGGCCAAAUUGUUGCUGCUGGAAAACUUGCCACGCAUCCUUGAUGUAGUCGGGCAACAAAAUGCGCGCAAGGGUGCUGCCAAAGCAUUUGAUGUCUUCCAGAAUGUACGUUUAAACAAGCAGCUAUUUUACCCCCACACAGCUGCACCAAAUGAGGCAAAAAUCAUGGGAAAUCUCUACUAGUAAAGGAGUUUUGGGGAAAGCAAAACCUACUGCGUCACUUUUUUGAGCAAAAUGGUCAAGGAGAAAAGACCGUUCGGACCAAGAUGUCGCAGCAAAGUGCCCUAUCGUGUCAAGAGACACCUCAAUGCAAAGCAGCACUGCAGUUCACCAAAGACGAAAAGACUGUGCUUAUCGCUCUCGUGAGGCAGUUCAAGCUCAUCAUCGAGUGCUAGAAAACUGAUGUUGCAUCGAUAGCGAAAAAAAAAUAAACAUGGGAAGAAAUUGCCAAGUGCUACAAUGCCAACAAUGAAAUCAUUCAGCAUAACUACCUGCAGCUAAGUAAAUGCUGUAAUGACCUCAAGUAGAAAUGGAAAGAGGAAACUGCAAGAGAAAAGCGAGAGCGCCAUAAAACUGAAGGCGUUUAUGAAAUGGUGCUUCAUUCUGCAAUGAAACGUUACUGCUGAUUAAGAGAAGAACCGGCGCCUUCCACCAUGGCUCCUAUGUACCAAUUGGUGGGUUCGAUUGCUGCUCACAUGGCGACAAGAGUGAGAAACGCCUUUGUUUCGGACGCCGCAAAGUACCAGCCCCCCAUUGCAAGUCUGCCUGUCGCGAGGCUGCUGCAGCCCAUGAUUGAUGGUCGAAAUGAAGUGGACUUCGAUACUUCGAUUGGCAAGACUAUCUGUGGCUAGGUACCACUACUGUAGAGCAGUCACAGCUGCCAACAGGCACAGGUGCCAACGAGGACAGCAGACCUACUUCUAUAGCACAGCAUGAUGCCGAAGCAAACACUGCUGCAAAAAGUUGUGUAAACUGCCACCAAGCCGCCAGAACUGCUGGCAGUAGUACUUCUGCAGCAACUGUUGCUGCUGAAGCAUGCAGGAUACCUAGGGGCCGGAUGGCUUUUGUGGAGACGACGCUGGCCGCUGAAAAUGUAAUUCGAGCAGAGCUCUUUAGCACGCAGUCCAUGUCCGGCUUUUGCAGGAGGACUACGAGACAUGAUGCUCAAACGGGUAGACAAAAGAGAGUUAGACAAUCAAGUGUGAGAGCUCGAGCUUUGAAAGCACAAGAAUGAGAUAGAAAAGUAAGAACUUGAGAUUGAAAUACCGCACACUGCAAUGUAAUGCACCUUAUUUAUAAAUAAACGAUGGGAUCUCUCAUAAACGAUGAAA